CCCAGAUUGGAGGAAACUGGAGGUGGGGAUGGACUUAGGGUUGCCCAAUCUGCAGUGGCCUCAGGUUGGAGCACCUGUGGGGUUUUUCCCUGGGUGGAAGAUGUGGCAUCUCUGCAGAGCCUGGAAAUUCACCCAUGUUGCAGGGGCUGUAUUGAAGCUGGUGAGACUGCUCACAGGAGAGAGAUUAAGUAUUCAUGCAAGCAUUUGCAAGGUUUCCAUCAGAGCCUCUGCAGUUGCCAACCACUGAACAUCCCUUGUGCUCUCUGGUUUCUGUGAUCCCUGUAUGUUUGUGAGGAGGAAAAACUGAGCCACUUGCAAACUGAUAAACAGAGGGGCCUCUGUACAGCUGAUGCCCUCAUUUUCUAGGUCAGACUAGCCAUUAGAGA
rnacentral:lncRNA from 1 species